rnacentral:lncRNA from 1 species
ACUGUAACGGAGGACUGCUCCUACGGUCCUGGCUCCAGUCAUGCCAACCACCAUGGAACAGCUAGUGUUCGCGCAGUCCUGCCAGAAACUGCCCUGCUUCAGGCAUGAUCCUGGGCCCAGGAGCAGGGGGAGGACAGCAUCCAGGUCCCAAGCCUACCAGCUCUGGCCGCGGACUCCCUCUCUGUGAACGUUCCCCUUGCUCAUGGAGAGCAGAUUAUAGGGCGCGCUCUGUCUACGGGGCCUCAGGAACCGGACUUAAGCCCGAUGGGCAGAAGCUAGUGGAUGAAACUUGUGCACCAGUGAAGGACAGCCUGACCUAUAAGGGAGUGAAUUCCCUGUCACUGGAGGUAUGCAAGCAAAGGAAGGAUGCUGAUUGGAGUAUCCUAGAAAGAAUGACAACUUUAUUUUUUUUAAAGAUGUAUUUAUUUAUUCAUGAGAGACACAGAGAGAAAGGCAGAGAGAAGGCAGAGGGAGAAGCGGGCUCCCCAGGGGGAGCCGAUGUGGGAUUUGAUCCUAGGACCCCGGGAUCAUGACCUGAGCCAAAGGUAGAUGCUCAACCGCUAAGCCACCCAGGUGCCCCAAGAAUGAAAAUUUUAAAAGAGGAGCUUUUACUAGCUGAAACUUAAGGCCUGUCUUAAUAUGUUAUCCUGUUAUAAAGGCGUUUUGCUUAUAGAUGGAAGAAGCUCUCCCCUCCUGUCUUGUCAGUUCUCCCCAAGAGAGGGAGACACUCAUUUUAGUUGAAUCUGCUUUCAGGACCUCACUGGGUGACAGAGCAGCUGGCAGAGUCAUAGGCUGCUCCUCUCUGGCACCUUGGUCCCCCGGGCUAGAGAAAGGGCCAUGGGACGGAGCCCAGCUUGGCUUGUCCUCUGUUCUCUCUCUUCCAUUUUAUUUGUCUAGCAGAGUCUCACCCAAUACUUGCUGUGUACAAGGCACCAUUCUAAGUGUUCUUCCCAAGCAGUAACUCAGGUAACCCCCAGAAAAACUAGUUGGUAGGUACUGACCAUUCCAUCUCUCUCUCUCUCUUUUUUAAAAGAUUUAUUUAGGGCAGCCUGGGUGGCUCAGCGGUUUAGUACCGCCUUCAGCCCAGGGUGUGAUCCCACAUCGAGUCCCAUGUCGGGCUCCCUGCAUGGAGCCUGCUUCUCCCUCUGCCUGUGUCUCUGCCUCUCUCUCUCUCUCUCUUUCUCUCAUGAAUAAAUAAAAAUCUUUUUAAAAAAACUUAUUUAUUUAUUAGAGAGAGAGCAUGAGCAGGAGGGGCAGAGGGAGAGGGAGAGAGAAUCUUGGGUCGACUCCGUGCUGAGCCAGAGCCCGAUGUGGGGCUCGAUUUCACAACCCUGAGAUCAUGACCUGAGCUGAAACCAAGAGUCAGAUGCUUAACCGACUGCACCACUCAGGCAUCCCUAUCAUUUCCAUCUUACAGAUGAGGAAACCGAGGACAGAGAGGUUGAGGAGCUUGUCCAGGGUCACACAGAAAAGAUCAGGAUUUGAACCCAGGCAGUGUGGUUCUAGACCAUGUUCUCAACCACAACAUCCAGGCCAUCUUCUCUUUUUUCCUUGAAGGCUCCAGUUUUUGAUGGUCAACUUUGGUUUCAUUAGAGAAUAAUGUCUCCCCCCUGGAAAUGCCUCCACUUAUGGCUUAUUUUGCAGCCUUUGCCAUCAGGCCUGCAGGGGCCAUGUCUCUGGGCCAUGCUCUCUCACCUGGCAGCAGCAACGGCAGAGACCUGAUCUGAGUCACAGGAGGUGAGUGAGGUGGCUGUGAGUAACCCUAUGCACCAGACCUUCCUUCUCUUAUAGAGUUAAUCUUCCCAAUCCCCAGGUAGGAGAGAACUAGAUAUUGGUGAACACUAGUGAUGUCUUCCACACUAGACCAGGUUUCCUUCUUACUGUUCUCAGGUUCCCAUGAACCUUUCUUUUAUGUGUCAUUUCAUAAUAACUUAUCGGUGAGCUUAUAUGAUGGCCAUCCAUCCUUCCCCCAAUCUCCAUUAGAGUGUAACUUCCAUGAGGAAAGAAACAUGUCUACGUUUGAUUAUUGUGAAUGAGUAGACAGAUCAAUGGAUGGAUGGAUGAAUGGAAGGAUGAAUGGAAGGAUGGAUAGAUGACUGGAUGCAUGGAUGAAUGACUGGUUGGAUGAAUAAAGGAGUUGUGAGCCCUUUCUUAGUAUAAAAGAUGAUACAUUAACAAUCUAGCAUUACUUGGAUGUGUGUGUUAUUUCCUCCCAAGAUUCAGAACUAAUUCUAAUAAGGGUUAAUUAAGAUUUCCUAGGGGGAUUAACAUCUGAGACCUUCUGGAGGAUUAAUUAUCAUUUGGCGUUAAAGAUGCAAACAAAAUCCCCAGGAGAAGUUGUAAUCUCUGAACUCAGGCACUGCUGUUUGCCUCAGUCCCAGCUUUGCUGACCCCUUGGUCCUCUCAUGGCUGUGAAGGGCCAUGGGAGUGCCUGAAGCCACCCUGGGAAACGCUCUUUGCCUCAGGUGUAUUAUGGCUGCAGCUUCUCCAGAUCAUGGUCUCUGAGUGUAGAUGGGAUCAGAGACGGGUGAUACAUUUAGGACAAUAGCAGAAUAUGUGUUCUCUACUCCAAACCUGAACAUGCCAUUCAAUGUGUCUGAUUUUCAGGUGACCAAGGAGGAGUCAGGGGUCCCUUCCAGGGCAGAGAUGGCUUAGAAGUAUAUUGAAGGCGGCCCUGCAGAAGGAGGGAGGAGAUGCUAAGCCUUCACCAUCCUUUUUCCUCCCCAGACCUCAGACUUCCCUUCAGUGUUGUUGAAGCUUCAUUGUCCCUGUAGCUUUGACACUUUGUGAGAAGUCUGGGUGUGGGCCCUCCAGGGGUUUUAAGAGAAGGGUUUGUUUGAAGUAAGUCACGGUACUAGUCUGAGGUCUUGUCAGUUGGUUGUACUGCUGGGGAGCUGAGUUUCAUCAGAGGCCACAUCAUGCUAUCUCUCUUUCUCCAUCGUCAACUGUGAUUUUAUGAUAAAUGGGGCUGUCACGUGUGGUUGUCAUUAGCAAUGUCCCUAUCGUAGUCAAGUUCUCCUACAUCGGGGCACAUAGUAGAACUAUAUUUUCUCACCUCCUACUAAUGUAGCCAUUGAUUUGCCUUGUCCAAUGGGAUCUGAGCAGAAGUGAUGUGUCACGUGUCAUAACAUGUAUAUGUGACAUUCUGCGCAGAAAUUCUGAGUCAGUGUGUAAUUCACCGAUUUACCUUUUGCCCUCUCCUCCCACCCCAGUAACUGGUAACCCUCCAGACGGAGGAGGCCUCAACAGCCCGAAUCUACGAAUGAGUUUGAUGGACAUAACCUCUGCGUUGACCUCCAAUGGAUAUGCUGUGUGAACAAAAUACUAUGCUUCUGUUGCGUUAAGGCACGUUUGAAGUAAUUAUUUCUUGUCCAGAGUAAAUAAAUAUCUGUCAGGCUUCAGAAUAAUUUCACGUACUGCUCAGGCAAAAAAGAGGCUUUUGGGUACAGAUUUUUAGUUGUUUGUUACUGUGGCAUAACCUAGAUUAUCCUGCCUAGCAUAUGUGGUUAUUCUAGAACACAGGCUCAUAUUCAUUAGGAAUUUGAACAGAAGUGAGUCCCAGUGUGGACAACAGACACCUGGAGAAGGGGCUGUGGAGCAUGUGUGAAGAGCAGGUUCUCUGGAGUCAGGCAGUCCUGGAUUUGAAUCGCUGCUGUGCCACUUAGAAGCUGAGUCUUGAGACAAGUUACCCAAUGUCUCGGGGCCUCAUUUCUUUUCUGUGAAAAAUAACCCAUCUCGUAAGGUCCUUGUAAGGAGCCUGGGAGAAAAUAAAAGAGCCCAGUGAGGUUCUUCCCACUUAGUGAAACUCAAUAAAUGCUGAUGUAGCCAGAGUGAAAUCAAGUGUAACUUUCUUUGCUUUGCUAAAUAGUUCAAUCUCGAUUUCAAGCCAAAAGUUAGAAACCAGUCAGUUGAGCGUUGUCUAUUUUCCCUGGUGAUAAUGUCCUCGUCCCAGCAGGGCACAGGGUGAUGAGGGUGACUAUCUUCAACCUCCGUUGGCACCUACUGAGUCAUCUUUAAUGUCAUCUGGCUUCUGGUCAUAUGUCUACACUAUGGGCACUGCCUUCUUUCCUGAGAAGACACCCCACAUGCCCCUCACAUCUCUGGGCUUCGGGAAAACUCUCCGUGGAGGGACCCAUUGUCCUUGGCUCGCUGCAGGAGCCCCUGCGAGGCUGUGUGAUCCCUUUGGCUGGACGCACCUCUUUAUUCUGCUGUCCCACAGUGACGGAGUCUUGCUCUUGCUGCAGAAACAGGGACAUUUGUAUUUUCAGCUUUGGAAUUCCUUAAACAUACCUUGAGUGUGGGAUGGGGGUGGGGGUCAAGUUUUAAGGCCCUUCACCCAGAUCCUUCACCCUUCAUCAAGAUCCUCUUGAUUUCUUCAGAUGCUCCUCCACCCCCAGGGACGAUUGAUUAAUCUCAGAGAGGCAGUUUCGCUUUCUGAGCCGAUAUGAACAAAUACGGCUCUAGCUUGUUGAGUCUUCUUGAAGGAGAUUUGGGGCCCAGGCGACUGGCUCACAGGUACCUUUUCUCUGCUUUUGCUUUCACAUCUUUUCCUUGAGGCAAUGGAUGCCAUAUGGUGGAGCCACUGAAAAGGUAAGGAGGGGUCAGGGGGGAAACAGGAAAUACCAGAGAAAAACAAUAAUUGGUAUGUAUUUAAAAUUAUCACCCCACA